UUUUGGACAAUGGGCGCAAGCCUGAUCCAGCAAUGCCGCGUGCAGGAAGAAGGCCUUCGGGUUGUAAACUGCUUUUGUCAGGGAAGAAAUAUUGUUGGUUAAUACCUCGGGAGGAUGACGGUACCUGAAGAAUAAGCACCGGCUAACUACGUGCCAGCAGCCGCGGUAAUACGUAGGGUGCGAGCGUUAAUCGGAAUUACUGGGCGUAAAGCGUGCGCAGGCGGCUUUGCAAGACAGAUGUGAAAUCCCCGGGCUCAACCUGGGAACUGCAUUUGUGACUGCAAGGCUAGAGUACGGCAGAGGGGGAUGGAAUUCCGCGUGUAGCAGUGAAAUGCGUAGAUAUGCGGAGGAACCACCCGAUGGCGAAGGCAAUCCCCUGGGACCUGUACUGACGCUCAUGCACGAAA
rnacentral:rRNA from 1 species